CCCUCCCCUACAGAAGUGUUCACAGCACAGCCCUCAGCAUGGACUGGAGCUGGAGAACCCUCCUCCUGGUGGCCAUGGCGACAGGUGUCCACUCCCAGGUGCAGCUGGUGCAGUCUGGGGCUGAGGUGAGGAAGCCUGGGGCCUCUGUGAAGGUCUCCUGCAAGGCUUCUGGAUACACCUUCACCAGCUACUGGAUGCACUGGGUGCGACAGGCCCCAGCACAGGGGCUUGAGUGGAUGGGGAUGGUUCACCCUAGCUAUGGAAACACAAACUACGCACAGAAGUUCCAAGGCAGAGUUUCCAUGACCAGAGACACGUCCAUGAGCACAGCCUACAUGGAGCUCAGCAGCCUGAGAGCCGAGGACACGGCCGUGUAUUACUGUGCGUGCCAGGACUUGCUGUUUCUGGUGCCACAGGAAAUGACCUCAGCUCUCUCCCCAUAA